GAUGAACGCUGGCGGCGUGCCUAAUACAUGCAAGUCGAGCGAACGGACGAGAAGCUUGCUUCUCUGAUGUUAGCGGCGGACGGGUGAGUAACACGUGGAUAACCUACCUAUAAGACUGGGAUAACUUCGGGAAACCGGAGCUAAUACCGGAUAAUAUUUUGAACCGCAUGGUUCAAAAGUGAAAGACGGUCUUGCUGUCACUUAUAGAUGGAUCCGCGCUGCAUUAGCUAGUUGGUAAGGUAACGGCUUACCAAGGCAACGAUGCAUAGCCGACCUGAGAGGGUGAUCGGCCACAACGGAACUGAGACACGGUCCCGACUCCUACGGGAGGCAGCAGUAGGGAAUCUUCCGCAAUGGGCGAAAGCCUGACGGAGCAAUGCCGCGUGAGUGAUGAAGGUCUUCGGAUCGUAAAACUCUGUUAUUAGGGAAGAACAUAUGUGUAAGUAACUGUGCACAUCUUGACGGUACCUAAUCAGAAAGCCACGGCUAACUACGUG
rnacentral:rRNA from 1 species